rnacentral:rRNA from 1 species
AGUGAACGCUGGCGGUAGGCCUAACACAUGCAAGUCGAACGGCAGCACAGUAAGAGCUUGCUCUUACGGGUGGCGAGUGGCGGACGGGUGAGGAAUACAUCGGAAUCUACUUUUUCGUGGGUGAUAACGUAGGGAAACUUACGCUAAUACCGCAUACGACCUACGGGUGAAACCAGGGGAUCUUCGGACUUUGCGGGAUUGAAUGAGCCGAUGCCGGAUUAGCUAGUUGGGGGGGGAAAGGCCCACCAAGGCGACGAACCGUAGCUGGUCUGAGAGGAUGAUCAGCCACACUGGAACUGAGACACGGUCCAGACUCCUACGGGAGGCAGCAGUGGGGAAUAUUGGACAAUGGGCGCAAGCCUGAUCCAGCCAUACCGCGUGGGUGAAGAAGGCCUUCGGGUUGUAAAGCCAUUUUGUUGGGAAAGAAAAGCAGCAGGUUAAUACCCCGCUGUUCUGACGGUACCCAAAGAAUAAGCACCGGCUAACUUCGUG